rnacentral:tRNA from 1 species
GGCCGCCUGGCGUAAUGGCAACGCGUCUGACUACGACUGUCAUAUCGGUAAAUCAGGAGAUUGCAGGUUCGACCCCUGCGGUGGUCA